UGGGGUGUAGCUCAUAUGGUAGAGCGCUCGCUUUGCAUGCGAGAGGCAAAGGGAUCAAUGCCCUUCUCCUCCA
rfam:Rhizoclosmatium globosum strain JEL800 BCR33scaffold_92, whole genome shotgun sequence.